GAUGAAGAACGUAGCGAAAUGCGAUACGUAAUGUGAAUUGCAGAAUUCAGUGAAUCAUCGAAUCUUUGAACGCAUAUUGCGCUCUUUGGUAUUCCGAAGAGCAUGCUUGUUUGAGUAUCAGUAAACACCUCAACCUCUUCUUGAUUUUUCAAAAGGAGGGUGGACUUGAGCUAUCCCAACAACCUUUACCGGUCGGCGGGCGGCUUGAAAUGCAGGUGCAGCUGGACUUUUAUCUGAGCUAAAAGCAUAUCUAUUUAGUCCUCGUCCAACAGGAUUAUUACUUUUGCUGCAGCUAACAUAAAGGAUAAUUGUCCUCUUUGCUGACUGAUGCAGGAUUUUACGACACUUUAUGUGUUGUUCAACUCGAUCUCAAAUCAAGUAAGACUACCCGCUGAACUUAAGCAUAUCAAUAAGCGGAGGA
rnacentral:misc_RNA from 1 species